GACGAACGCUGGCGGCGUGCUUAACACAUGCAAGUCGAACGGAAAGGCCCUGCUUUUGUGGGGUGCUCGAGUGGCGAACGGGUGAGUAACACGUGAGUAACCUGCCCUUGACUUUGGGAUAACUUCAGGAAACUGGGGCUAAUACCGGAUAGGAGCUCCUGCUGCAUGGUGGGGUUGGAAAGUUUCGGCGGUUGGGGAUGGACUCGCGGCUUAUCAGCUUGUUGGUGGGGUAGUGGCUUACCAAGGCUUUGACGGGUAGCCGGCCUGAGAGGGUGACCGGCCACAUUGGGACUGAGAUACGGCCCAGACUCCUACGGGAGGCAGCAGUGGGGAAUAUUGCACAAUGGGCGGAAGCCUGAUGCAGCAACGCCGCGUGCGGGAUGACGGCCUUCGGGUUGUAAACCGCUUUCGCCUGUGACGAAGCGUGAGUGACGGUAAUGGGUAAAGAAGCACCGGCUAACUACGU
rnacentral:rRNA from 1 species